rnacentral:rRNA from 1 species
UAAUGCAUAUGGCGGAUGCCUUGACAUUAAAAAGCGAUGAAGGACGUAGCUGGCUGCGAUAAGCUUCGGGGAAGUGCUAAGCAACUUUUGAUCCGGAGAUUUCCGAAUGGGAUAACCCCCUCUUUUAGAGGAUCCAUAACUGAAUACAUAGGUUAUGGAAGCGCACCCUGGGAACUGAAACAUCUUAGUACCAGGAGGAAUAUAAAUCAAUUGAGAUUCCGUGAGUAGUGGCGAGCGAAAACGGAAAAGUCUAAACCGAAUCCUUCGGGGUUCGGGGUUGCGAGGUAAUUUUACUCUUUUAAUAGGGGUUUGAGAUUAUUUCUUUAGCAGAACACUCUGGAAAGAGUGACCAUAGUGGGUGAUAGUCCCUUAUGCGAAAAAGAAAUGUCCGGAUGUAAUUAUUCUCAAGUAGGGCGGGACCGGAGAAAUCCCGUUUGAAUCAGGGGCCACUAUAGCUCCAAGACUAAAUAUUUUUAAUGAUCGAUAGUGAACUAGUACCGUGAGGGAAAGGUGAAAAGUAUCCCGAUAAGGGAGAUGAAAUAGUAUCUGAAACCAUAUGCUAACAAAGAGUCAGAGUCGUUCGUAUCACAUUGCAUGUGAUACUUACUACUGCGAAUCGUUGCGAAUUUUAGCGAAUGUAUCCGAAUAUAUAAAAAAUAUUCGCAUUCAUUAGUUUUUCAUUCGCAAUAUUUGCAUUAGGGAGUUAUCGCGCGUAGCGUGAUACGACCGAUGAUGGCGUGCUUUUUGUAGAACGAACCAACGAGUUAAUUCUGUAUUGUCUGACUAAGCUACUUUCGUAGUGGAGUCAUAGUGAAAGCGAGCCUUAACGGGCGACAUGAUAGUGCGGAUUAGACCCGAAGCCAGGUGAGCUAUUUAUGAGCAGGGUGAAUUUCGAGUAAAAUCGAAAGGAGGCCCGAACCCACGAGCCGUGCAACACUCGGGGAUGACUUGUGAAUAGAGGAGAAAUUCCAAUCGAACUUGGCGAUAGCUGGUUCUUCCCGAAAUAGCUUGAGGGCUAGCGUCCUUUAAAUGAGCACAAGAGGUAGAGAUACUGAAUGAGAAUCCGCGGUUCGCCGUAGGCUUCUCAACCAAACUCCGAAUUCUUGUGUUUCUUAUCUGGGCAGUCAGAACUCCGGGGCUAAGCUCGGAGCUCAAAACGGAAACAGCCGAGAUCGCAAUCUAAGGUCCCUAAAUUCAUAUUAAGUGGUAAAGGAGGUGAAGUUUCUUAUACACCUAGAAGGUUGGCUUAGAAGCAGCCAUCCUUUAAAGAGUGCGUAACAGCUCACUAGUCUAGAGACUUCGCGCCGAAAAUUCAACGGGGCUAAAUAUGAUACCGAAGAUGCGAGUGUUGGUAGGGAAGUGUUCCAUGCGCACUGAAGCGGAAGGCGUGAGCCACCGUGGAGUGCAUGGAAGUAAGAAUGUUGGUAUUAGUAACCGCAAUUGGGGUGAGAUCCCCCGACACCGAAAGUCUAAGGUUUCCUGGGCAAUGUUGAUCAACCCAGGGUCAGUCGGUCCUAAGGCGAGGUCGAAAGACGUAGUCGAUGGACACAAGGUUAAUAUUCCUUGACUAUUUAAUGUCACGGUAUGGGAGGACGCAAUCUUGUACAUUUUGCAUCUUAUUGGAUUGAUGUAGACAUAGUGAGGGUGCUUUUCAGGUAAAUCCGGAAGGUAUAGCCCGAGUUAUGGCUGGAGGUUUCUCUUCGGAGAGACUAACAAAAUGGAGCAGGUUGUCUAGAAAAGUCUCUAAACUUAUCAUUAAAUAUCCGUACUAAAACCGACACAGGUAGACUGGGCGAGUAGCCUAAGGUGAACGAGUGAUCCUCCGUUAAGGAACUCGGCAAAAAAGCUAGACGUAAGUUCGCAAAAUGUCUCGCCUAUAUCGCAAGGUAUAGGCCGCAGCGAAAGUUUCCCAAGCAACUGUUUACCAAAAACACAGGUCUCUGCAAACCCGCAAGGGGAAGUAUAGGGGCUGACGCCUGACCAGUGCUGGAACGUUAACGGGAGCGGUGCAAGCCAAUCCCCGAAGCGCCAGUGAACGUCGGCGAUAACUAUGAAUUCUGACCCGCAUCAAUGGCGUAAUGACUUGGGAACUGUCUCAACGGAGAGCUCGGUGAAAUUGCAAUGACGGUAAAGAUGCCGUCGACCUGCAGCAAGACGAAAAGACCCCGUGGAGCUUUACUACAACUUGGCAUUGAUUUAGAAUUUUAGUUGUCGAGCUUAGGUGGGAGACUAUGAAAUCUGGACGCUAGUCCAGAUGGAGUCAACAGUGGAAUACCACCCUGCUGAAGUUUUAAGUCUAACCCUGGACAUACCAGUCCGGGAACAGUGCCUGGCGGGUAGUUUGACUGGGGCGGUCGCCUCCUAAAUGGCAACGGAGGCGUUUACAAAGGUUGGUUAGGUCCGGAUGGAAAUCGGACUGAUAGUGCAAAAGCAUAAACCAGCUUUACUGAGAGACCCAUCAGUCGAUCAGUUACGAAAGUAGAAUUUAGUGAACCGACUAUCGCUUAUAGGAGCGUAGAAGAUCAUCAGAUAAAAGUUACCCCGGGGAUAACAGGCUGAUCCCUUCCAAGAGUCCAUAUCGACGAAGGGGUUUGGCACCUCGAUGUCGGCUCAUCGCAUCCUGGGGCUGGAGAAGGUCCCAAGGGUAUGGCUGUUCGCCAUUUAAAGCGGUACGCGAGCUGGGUUCAAACCGGUGAGACAGGUUGGUCUCCUAUCUGCUGUGGGCGUUGUUGCUUGAAAAGAGUCUUUCCUAGUACGAGAGGACCGGAAAGAACAAACCUCUGGUGUAUCAGCUGUUCCGCCAGGAGCACUGCUGAGUAGCUACGUUUGGAAAGGAUAACCGCUGAAAGCAUAUAAGCGGGAAGCCUCCUUUAAGAUAAGGCAACUGUUGGAGCUUGCUCCAAUAUAAUUUCCUAGAAGAUGACUAGGUUGAUAGGUCUCAGAUGUAAGUGCAGUAAUGCAUUAAGUCGAGAGAUACUAA